rnacentral:rRNA from 3 species
AGAGGCAGGCAACCACGGUAGGGUCAGCGACUGGGGUGAAGUCGUAACAAGGUAGCCGUAGGGGAACCUGUGGCUGGAUCAC